CGGCAACACAUUGGUCGUGUUUCGAGGUGUAUUUUUGUGACAAACUCCUACCAAAUGCUUAAAAGCAGUUGAACAACCAGUGGAAACUGCCUGAUGAUCAAACUCCUUGUUUACAGUAGUGAUGUCGUUGCUCCAGAAUGAAUCUGUUAUUCACUUACUAAUGAUAAAAUGCUACACGUAAGUACAUUUACUUAACUAGACAGGUGUAAAAUUAGGUGCUGAGGAGGAGUUGGGCUUCCCAUUACUGUUUUCCCAUAUGUGCGUGUUUGUGUGUCUGAGUCUGAGAAGGAAGAUGGCACUGCUGUCUAGUUCCUAAGUAGAUGAUGGACUGUAGCUCGUAUUCCCAUUCCCUCUCAUUAGCUCGGCCCCUGAGAAUAUAUGAGGUUACUUACCUUCCCUUGCUCUCAGUUCGUGGCCAAACGCCAAGCGUCGGAUCAGGGUCAUUAGCCUCGCUAUUUGGAACAAAUGGCCUUCGAUAGUAUCUCAGCUAUAAUACAACAGGAGCAGAUUAACCCCUUGAUCCUUGAAGGAUAGCAUGUUGAACACAUUAGGACGAAAGCAGCGAUCAAGGCGGUGAUGAUGUUUAUUUUUACUAUCAUUAUUUGUCUGUUUCUGGCCUCUUUAUUCAUGUGUUCUUUGGUUGUUUUGAGGGGAUUUUAUUUUUCUUAUCUCUCUCUCUCUCUCUUUUUUUUUUUUGGUUGUUGUUGUUUUUUGCAGCAGAUUUUGACAGUUGGAAUCUCAUUGCAUUUCAGCUAAACAUCACAGCUGUUUGCCUGAAAACAAAAACCACAGAGAGAGAAGUGGGCAGACGAUCAAAGCCCAAGGAGGAUUUGUCUGGCAGAAAGAGGCUGGGGCUCUGCCUGCGUGGACUCUCUCAGCACAAGGUUGCCCCCUCAUAUCACCAGCUUGAAAAUUAGAGCUCACGAAAGGGAGCAAUGCAGUCACAACAACCUCCUCCCUAUCGCAGUUGCCUUCUUAAUACAUUGUGCGUGUGCGUGCAUUUUCUUGUCUUUUCUACUUCAUAGCCAGGUGCCUGACACUACACAGUUUUUUAGUGCAGUAUCACACCACUCGUAGUACUGUAAAUAAUUCACCUGACUGAUUUUGAAACCCUUCGGAUUUGUUAUGAAAAGAGCCCUCUACGGGAAAUUUGGGAUUAUUUCCAAAUCCGUAGGUACAAAAGGAGAUAAUCCAUGACUUGUUUGUGUUUUGAGCUGCCAAGGGAAAAAAAAUGCAGCAUGCUAUAUGUUUAUUUCUGUCUAAGGUCACCAAAACCAUCUUUCCAUAAGGUUCCUUAUGAGGUUUGUGGCCUAUCGGGGGGGGGGGUCUUCUGAUGUCUGUUUUGAGCAGAAAGACACACCCAGAGGAUGGAUAUAAUUAAGACUAGUGCCUUUUUGUGAGUAAGGAGGGUGUUUGGAUAACUGCUCUGGGUGGUCUAGCACUACAUGUCUCUACCAGUUUUAUUACAAACAGACACAAUGCGGUAAGAGCACACAUGCAUUCUAAGAAAGCGGACAAAGAUUAGCAUGUACUGUGCAACGUAAACAUACACGUGAAAACAGCCAUGUCGCUGGUUUCCUGCUUCCCUGGGACGUUGUUUGAGCAUGGCACAGCAAAUUUAAAAGAAAAAAAAGAUGAAUUGAUCAAAGCAGCGGGCAGACAUAUGUGACGUUCAGGGAUGUGCACUUAAAUUUACACUGUUGCUUUACAAAGAUCAUCACAUAGCUAACUUUAGCUUCGCCCCAACCAUCACUUUGGCAGUGAAUAGAAGCCAGAUGAGCCAGAAGGGGAUCAUUUAUGUACAUAAGGUACACACAAAAACCAUAAAUGCUACUCUGGACUAGAUUGAAAUAUUUUAUUUUCUUAGUGCAAUUAUGGAGCUUAAUGAACCUAAGACAAAACCUAAUUAAACUGUGGGAUUUUUCAGUAAAGAGCCCUGGUAAUUGUUUGCAUUUAUAUAAUGCUUUUCUGGUCUUAGUGAUCGCUCAAAGCACCACUUUGUACCAAUAGCACAUUGGGUACGAUGACACUUUGAUAAACACAUACACAGAUACACCCACAGUUUUGGUAUUUCAACUCAAGGGAGCCCAAUAAAGGCUAAAUUUUAAUUUAAGACUUGUGACUGAAAUGUACAGUUCGCUGCUUUGUCAACUAUCCGAUAAAUCACUGUGGAAUUUAAAAACUGUCAUGCUAGCUAACCGCUUGAUGACAAACUAUAUUAAGGAGGAAAAUCAAAAUAUAAAGAAGUGCUCUCAACCGUAUAAAAGUUAAACGUCUAAUUAACUCUUUUAGAAACAAACUCUAAUUUAUUCAAGGCUUUCUUGUACUUGGUGGAAAACAAAAUGCAAUGCCAGUCAAUCCCACAACAAGGGCUUUUCUACCAGUCACUUCUGAUUAAUAGCGUCUUCUUGUUAACACAUAAACACCGCGUCUACCAUCAGACCCUCAAACGUCCGUUAAUUUGCAGCUUUUUCCCCCCUUUGUGUGAAUUGGCUCAUUUAGUCAGCAGGGAGAAUGCUGAUCUUGUAGCAUUGGGUUUGAAAACACAUGGGUGGUCCUGCUUUCUUUCUGGGGUUUUUUUCUCUUCCCCAAAUGUACUGAGCAUAAAUUUGUGACUCCAUAUAGGGACUUUAAUGAUGAGAGUACUCUCCAGGGUCUCGUGAGUCUGCUUACUGGAGCAAUAAGAGGGAGAUGGCAGUAAGAGAGGUGGAAAAAAAUACAGUGAAAGAGAAAUGGAGAGGUGGGAGCGAAGCAACGCACCCUUAAAAACCGUCCAGACAGAAAUAGUAAAUUGCAUAUUCUCAAAGAUGCAGGAACUGCAAACGGGUAGGAGGGAUUUCUCCUUCAUUUGUAGUGAGCAGCUUUCCUCUGCUGCACUGUUUCACUGUAUUUAACAUCAAAGCAAACUAUGAACAAUUGAGGCAAUUUUUCAUUCGGCCAAGGUCAAUCAUUGUUCUUUCUCUGGGAAUGUAGAUCUGGCUGCGCAAUUCAGAGGAACCACAUUUCACUGGCAAGUCUAUUUUAGCAAGCCACCUUUUAACUAAACCGCUGAACAUUUUUGUUGUGUGUGUGUGUGUGUGUGUGUGUGUGUGUGUGUGUGUUUUAGAUUGUACAUGUAAUUAUAAAGAAUCUUCAGGUCCAUUUAUUAAAGCUGCAUUGUGAUUUUUUGUAAACCAUAGUUUUAAUUAGAGCUGUGUCUAGACUGCUUUUAAUAAAACCUGUGACUUAUGUAUGUAAUAUGAAAGGAAAAGCAGAUACUGCAUACAGUAAAAUGCCACAUUUGAAAUUGACCUUAAAUUCUGCUCGCAAAUUUAUACAACCCUGAUCCUGGAUCAGAUUCAAGAACCAAAACUCCACUUGCCAUGUUUACAUAAACAAAAAGUGGAACUGGUUGACAUAUAUAUAGUAAAUGCUUAAACACUGAAUAUUUAGACACAGAGAUAUAUUUAGACCUCAGCUCUUGUACUUGCUAGAUCUAACCACGACCACAUGAACUUUCUUGCCAGGAACUAAACGGUUCUUGAACCAAAGAAUAUAAAGCUAAAAAGGACUCUGAGGGACUGGUUAAAUCUAUGAACAGCAGGCAGCUUAAAGAAGUCAUUAAUACAGCUAAAGUAGCUUAAAAAAGGCAUUUAUGAAUAUGUCUUCCAUGGGAACUUUGAUGUGUUUUUUGACCACAAAUGAACAGGCAGCUUUGAGAAUACACAGAGUGACUCAUUAUUUGUCUCAAUGGGAGUCCAAAUGGCACUUGAAUCAAAGAAAACAUCAGGGGAUGCAGAGAGGGAGGAAAAAAACUGAAAAACACAAAACAUGACUCACUAAUGAAGAAACUGAGUAGAUGCAAUUUUGAAAAACUACAAAUAAUGUAAUUUAUGGUAACUAUGUUUAAUUUCUUGGUAUUGUCAGAUGAUAUUACCCAGUGCCCACAUAUGCCAUUAUUAGCAUAGUCAUAGUUUCAUAUUCUUUGGAUGACUUCUUCUCGUUAAUUCGGCUUUUUGAUUUGCCAAAAGUACAGAAAGUAAGUUCUGUAAAAUGUAGGACUGGAGUUGAAUUAUCAGGACCAACAUCUAACUACACACACACACACACUGUACACUUGAAACAAUGUUGACACAACAAAACACAUUUUUAAUUUAUUUAUUUUUAUUCAAAAUUCCCUGAUAUUGUUUAAAGCGAGCAAACCAGAAGAAGAAAAAAGGAAAAAAAAGUAUAAAAACAUAUUAAGCUUAAUAUAAAAAUAUUAAAAUAUUUAUAGGUUUGGCUGAAUUUUACAGAGUCAAAGUCCUUUUUUUCCCCCCACCUUUCCAUCUGGUCAACCUAAGAUUUUCUACUCAAAAAUUCUUUUUGAUAAUUCAUUCUGCCUCCGUGCACAUCCCUCUCAGCCCUGGUGUGUAGAAAUGUCAGACACCAAGAUUUAUAAGGCGUUACAUUCCCUGCCGUCAUAAUGCUGAAAUUCUUUCAUGUUGUGGGCAUCACAUAAUCACUGAUAUAUCAUCUUUAGUAAAACACAUGUAGGGGCUACCCCGGCACAUGAUCACAAGCAGGUUUCUUUUUUUUUU